UACUAGCGGUCCAAGUCGCAGCCAUAUUUAUUGGGUCUAAAACAUCCGUAGCUUGCUUGAUAAGUUUCUUGUGAAAUUUUAUAUCUCAAAUAUGAAGCGUGCAAGAAAUACUAUUAAGCUAGAGACUGGAAGACGUAAGAAGUAUGUUCAGAGUAGCGGUAAAAUGUGUUAAUCCUGGACAGACUCACAAUAGCGAAGGCAUCUUACGAGGACAGUUCUGACAGUAAGGGAUGAAGGCUAGGGGCGCAAAACGGAUUAGAUACCCGCGUA
rnacentral:rRNA from 1 species